rnacentral:sRNA from 1 species
CUGGUGUGAACUUUUUAUGAUUAAUAUAUAUUGCUUUUAUAAUUAAAAUGUAUUUUAAAAAUUAAAAAGUGUGAUGGAGUUGGGGAAUAAAAUACAGUAUAAAAUGCCAUGUUCUUAGAAAUAAAUGGUCCUGUGGCCAUGCAGAAAAAAAAUAAGAGCAGUUGUGAGGGGAAAUAAGUAAUGAAGUUAGAGAGCAAGAAAUUUCCAAGCCUUUUCGUUGCCCAUUUCUUCCCAUCCUUGAACUUCAGUUUUCCAUUUCACUUCGGAAAACAGAUCACAUAACAAAGAAAAAUUCUCUUUGAAGAAAAAGGACAAACUUGCCCAUCUUAAUAAUUUGUCUUCUCUAUUAUGUGUCUAGUCGGUGUAGUUGAUUAAUUUGGUAUGUUUUCUGUUAGCUUUUUUGUGUACUGAGUCUGUGAUUUUCUUACAGAUGAACAAAUUGAUUGAAUAUUACCAGCAGCUUGCUCAGAAAGAGAAGGUUGAGCGAGAUCGCAAGAAAUUGGCACGACGUAGAAACUAUAUGCCUCUGGCUUUUUCGGACAAAUAUGGUCUUGGAACCAGGCUUCAGCGACCACGAGCUGGCACAUCCAUCAGUACCCUUGCCGGACUUUCCCUUAAAGAAGGAGAGGACCAGAAAGAGAUAAAGAUUGAGCCAGCU